rnacentral:rRNA from 1 species
CACGUAGGGUGCGAGCGUUGUCCGGAAUUAUUGGGCGUAAAGAGCUCGUAGGCGGUGUGUCGCGUCGGCCGUGAAAACCUGCAGCUUAACUGUGGGCUUGCGGUCGAUACGGGCAUCACUGGAGUUCGGCAGGGGAGACUGGAAUUCCUGGUGGAGCGGUGAAAUGUGUAGAGAUCGGUAGGAACACCGGUGGCGAAGGCGGGUCUCUGGGCAUUUCCUGACGCUGAGGCGCGAAAGCGUGGGGAGCAAACGGG